UCGAAACUCGAAAGGCGUGGAGGGGGACCUUUACUGGGUCCUUCGAAGCCCUUUUUACUUUGUCCACACCUCUGUGCACCCCGUUCGCGUGAGGUUCUUCGGAACCUGCGCGAUACUAUCUCGAACUCGUAUGUCUACAGAAUGUAACCUAGCGUUGGAAAAGAAAAUA
rnacentral:misc_RNA from 1 species